rnacentral:lncRNA from 1 species
UGGAGACGUGAGUCUUGCUGAAGCUCCCAGCCGAAUAAAGCCCCUCCUUCUUUAACUCGGUGUCUGAGGGGUUUCGUCUGCGGCUUGUCCUGCUACAAAAUGUGGAAAGUGGGACAAUCACGCCCUUGUGAAACAACAAUCGCAGCACUUCAGCCUUCCUGGGUCUGGUCCUCAGGCUGUGAGUGAUGUGCCUUAGGGGCAGGAGGAAAGUCAAGUCCUCCUGGGCCUUGGAUGACUCCCUUGCAAGAAUACAUUCUGUGAGUUGAGACCAGAAGCAGCAACCAGAAUAACUAGAUGAUUACUCUUCUCUUCAUGUGGUCAAAGUAUUUAUAGUAUUUGCUUAAUAAAACUCAUGAAAUCUCUGAG